rnacentral:rRNA from 1 species
CUUCCAGGAAAAGCCUCUAAGCAUCAGGUAACAUCAAAUCGUACCCCAAACCGACACAGGUGGUCAGGUAGAGAAUACCAAGGCGCUUGAGAGAACUCGGGUGAAGGAACUAGGCAAAAUGGUGCCGUAACUUCGGGAGAAGGCACGCUGAUAUGUAGGUGAAGUCCCUCGCGGAUGGAGCUGAAAUCAGUCGAAGAUACCAGCUGGCUGCAACUGUUUAUUAAAAACACAGCACUGUGCAAACACGAAAGUGGACGUAUACGGUGUGACGCCUGCCCGGUGCCGGAAGGUUAAUUGAUGGGGUUAGCGCAAGCGAAGCUCUUGAUCGAAGCCCCGGUAAACGGCGGCCGUAACUAUAACGGUCCUAAGGUAGCGAAAUUCCUUGUCGGGUAAGUUCCGACCUGCACGAAUGGCGUAAUGAUGGCCAGGCUGUCUCCACCCGAGACUCAGUGAAAUUGAACUCGCUGUGAAGAUGCAGUGUACCCGCGGCAAGACGGAAAGACCCCGUGAACCUUUACUAUAGCUUGACACUGAACAUUGAGCCUUGAUGUGUAGGAUAGGUGGGAGGCUUUGAAGUGUGGACGCCAGUCUGCAUGGAGCCGACCUUGAAAUACCACCCUUUAAUGUUUGAUGUUCUAACGUUGACCCGUAAUCCGGGUUGCGGACAGUGUCUGGUGGGUAGUUUGACUGGGGCGGUCUCCUCCUAAAGAGUAACGGAGGAGCACGAAGGUUGGCUAAUCCUGGUCGGACAUCAGGAGGUUAGUGCAAUGGCAUAAGCCAGCUUGACUGCGAGCGUGACGGCGCGAGCAGGUGCGAAAGCAGGUCAUAGUGAUCCGGUGGUUCUGAAUGGAAGGGCCAUCGCUCAACGGAUAAAAGGUACUCCGGGGAUAACAGGCUGAUACCGCCCAAGAGUUCAUAUCGACGGCGGUGUUUGGCACCUCGAUGUCGGCUCAUCACAUCCUGGGGCUGAAGUAGGUCCCAAGGGUAUGGCUGUUCGCCAUUUAAAGUGGUACGCGAGCUGGGUUUAGAACGUCGUGAGACAGUUCGGUCCCUAUCUGCCGUGGGCGCUGGAGAACUGAGGGGGGCUGCUCCUAGUACGAGAGGACCGGAGUGGACGCAUCACUGGUGUUCGGGUUGUCAUGCCAAUGGCACUGCCCGGUAGCUAAAUGCGGAAGAGAUAAGUGCUGAAAGCAUCUAAGCACGAAACUUGCCCCGAGAUGAGUUCUCCCUGACUCCUUGAGAGUCCUGAAGGAACGUUGAAGACGACGACGUUGAUAGGCCGGAUGUGUAAGCGCAGCGAUGCGUUGAGCUAACCGGUACUAAUGAACCGUGAGGCUUAACCUU